UACGGGGGGGGCAAGCGUUGUUCGGAAUUACUGGGCGUAAAGGGCUCGUAGGUGGCCAACUAAGUCAGACGUGAAAUCCCUCGGCUUAACCGGGGAACUGCGUCUGAUACUGGAUGGCUUGAGUUCGGGAGAGGGAUGCGGAAUUCCAGGUGUAGCGGUGAAAUGCGUAGAUAUCAGGAGGAACACCGGUGGCGAAGGCGGUUCUCUGGGCCUGUACUGACGCUGAGGAACGAAAGCGUGGGGAGCGAACAGG
rnacentral:rRNA from 1 species